rnacentral:rRNA from 1 species
ACUGGGCGUAAAGGGCACGCAGGCGGUGACUUAAGUGAGGUGUGAAAGCCCCGGGCUUAACCUGGGAAUUGCAUUUCAUACUGGGUCGCUAGAGUACUUUAGGGAGGGGUAGAAUUCCACGUGUAGCGGUGAAAUGCGUAGAGAUGUGGAGGAAUACCGAAGGCGAAGGCAGCCCCUUGGGAAUGUACUGACGCUCAUGUGCGAAAGCGUGGGGAGCAAACAGGAUUAGAUACCCUGGUAGUCCACGCUGUAAACGAUGUCGAUUUGGGGGUUGAACUUUAAGUUUGGCGCCCGUAGCUAACGUGAUAAAUCGACCGCCUGGGGAGUACGGCCGCAAGGUUAAAACUCAAAUGAAUUGACGGGGGCCCGCACAAGCGGUGGAGCAUGUGGUUUAAUUCGAUGCAACGCGAAGAACCUUACCUACUCUUGACAUCCAGAGAACAUUCCAGAGAUGGAUUGGUGCCUUCGGGAACUCUGAGACAGGUGCUGCAUGGCUGUCGUCAGCUCGUGUCGUGAGAAG